UUGUUAGAAUAAAAAAAUAAAUAUACUAUUUUCAAGUUAAUUUACGAUAAACGCUUGCUAAUAUAAUUCUUGUUAAAGUUAAAAAUCAAAAAGAAGUUAACAACAAUUCCACUGACAAUUCUUGUUAUUCCCGCCCCAAAAAUCCCCAAACCCAAUUUGAAGAAAUUCUCUCGACGUACUCUCAAUAUCAGACCUAGAUUUUGAUUCUGCAAUUUCUUGUGCGAUUGUGAAGAUGAUGAUUAGAUGGCUGUUCGUAUUGGCAAUGGCAUUUAAGUUCUUCGGCAGAAUAUGGGGAAAAUGUUUUCGUCAUAAGAGGUAUCGAAAGGAAUUUGAGGAUUUGCCAUUCGAUGUAACAAUUCAGAUAUUGAAAUAUUUGGGUGCAAAACAGUCUGCCAAAAUGUGCGUUAUCAAUAAGAGAUUCAAAUCAAUAGUGUCCGACGAUCACCUCUGGAUGUACUUUCUUCAGGAGGAGGAUCCUUGUGGCCUUUUUGCUGAAAGUCAUCUCCGAAGUCUUCGGACGCUUCCCUCAGCACCCAGCUUGUCAUGGAUGACUAUUUAUGGUCAACGUGCUCAAGUGCCGAGGGCUGUUAUAAUUGAUGGUGGGUUAGGCUAUGCCAGAUUUGGUUGGAGCAAGGAUAGUGCUCCAUCAAGGACAUCAGAAAUAUCCUUGGUUUUUCGUGACAUUGAGCAUCUUCAGAAUUCUCUUGAUGUAUAUGGCUAUUUUUUUACUAUAUAGACCAGGAUGCAAGCGGAAAGGUCAAGACAGCCAAUCAUUGUGUCCAUGCCUAUUUGCCAUCAUGAUGGUUUUGAAUAUGAAAAAGCAGCUAAAAGGCAUGAAGAAGCUAUUGUUUCAACGUUAUUCAACAUGGAUGUGCCUGCAGUUUGUGUUGUCAACGAGGCCGUGUUAGCUUUAUUUUCUGCAAGGGAACUUUCCGGCAUAGUAGUCCAUAUUAGGAUUCACUAGACAUCUGUUGUUCCAGUUCGUCAUGGUGAAAUCAUGCACCUGGUGGGUGUGAAUGCUACGGAAAUUGGAGCAUUGAAGGUCAUGGAGUUCCUUAAGAAACAGCUGGAAGAUCAUAACAUAUACUAUGGGAGAUAUUUCACUGAUAAGGCAUUAAGAGAGGAGGCUAUGGGCUCAAGCACGGCUGCUAAUUUUUUGCAUUCGUGCAAGAUGAGCUGUUAUGUAGCUCAGGAUUAUGAAGCUGAGCUAUCAUCCAAAGAUAGCAAACUCAUUCUUGUGUUACCGGAUGAUAGCAACAUUACUCUUUCUGUAGAGUGUUUCAGAACCGGAGAGGUUCUGUUUCGGCCAUAUCUUGCAAGAAUGAAUGCUAUGAGUUUGCAGGAUGUUGUAACAUCCUGCAUAAAGAAUUGUCAUGAAGCUAGUGGCGGAUGAUGACAAUUGGUAUAAGACAAUUGUUUUGGCUGGGGUGUGUGCUUGUAUGCCCGGAUUAGCAGGGAGAUUAGAGAAGGAAGUCCUUGGACUUCUUCCCCCAUCCAUGACCAGUGGCAUCAGAGUUCUUCCGCCCCCGUAUGGCACCGAUUCUGCAUGGUUUGGGGCUCUAUCGAUUGGCAAUUUGAGCACCUUCCCCACUUCCUGAUGUCGGCAGAGGUCAUGAUGCAAACAGCACACUGGUUUUAUUGCCUCUUCUAUAUUGAUAUUUUAAUUUUAGCUUUACUGCAUGGGCAAUUAUGGAAGCUGCAGUCAUUAAUCAUCCAUGACUGGACAGGUUUUGUAGCUGCUUACAAUGUUCUACUUAGGAUUAGUUUUUUACUUCCAGAGGUAAUACUUGGUCGAUGAAAGGGAUUUUGUCUGUGAUGCUCCUAGGAUUGGCUUACACGUUCCAUCUUGUAUCCUCAGCCAUAUAUACUGUUAGGGGGUCAACUAUAAUCGAUCUAACCCACUAAGACAGUCUAAAGACUUAGACUCAAGAGACCUUUUUACUUUUUCUUUCACGUUUUAGAUUAACUUUAGACAAGCAUACGAACGUAGAACAGACAAUCACUUUACAGGAACAAGCCCCAUCUUUGUAUCAAACUCGCGCCACAAAGAAGCACACAAGUAGUUUAGCCUACAAAAUUCGACCAAAGAUCUUGUGCCCAAGAAUGGUCUUCCUGUGCCUUUAAAUAGGCUACGAUGCCUAGUCACAUGCCCAUGAAUUCAGUUGAUAAGCUAAAUUCAAACUACAAGCCUUAUCUAAAAUGCGGACAAAGCUCCAACGGCUAGAAACUGCCCACGCAUGUGCGAGGCACAUGCGAGCAGCCUUCAACAUUGACGUCAAAAUCACUCUUCAGUCGCCCAAUCUCACGCCUGCUCACGUACUAGUCAUGUGCGCUAGUCCUGCCUCGCCUGGCUUGCCAUUGGGGUGCAAUCUCCUUAGCCACUGCCCUUGUCCAGCACAUAGCCUUCAACUUGUUUAGCCACGACUUUGUCACGGUCACAUCCUCGGCUUGCCUUGCCUUAGCCUGCCCAGCUCUUGUCAUGUCUUAACCACAUCUUGCCUCACAUACCUUCUUUUUUCCAGCACUUGUCACGUCUUAGCCACGCCUUGCCUUGCAUGCCUUAACCACGCCACUGCCAAGGUCUUCUUUUAAUUAAACUUAACGUUGACUGAAGUCAUUGGGCGUUGACUAGGUUCAUCAUGUAAAUUCCUAGCCAAGCCCGAACUGCUCAAACCAUCAAGUUGAGGGUCUAAUAGAUACCUUAUACCCAAAAAACAAUAAUGAUAGCACAUGUGAUGAAUACAUAUCAACCAUGUUUUGUGCACAAGUACUAAUAAAAUUAGUCAUUCCCAAAGUCACGGAGGAGAAAUACUAUGGUGCCAAAAGGAAGUCCAGUAGUUAAAGAGGCCACAAUUGUCCAUUUAGACCUUCUUUACUCACUGUGAACUAUUAUAUUCAUGGGAAAAAUAAAUUGUUGUACUGUUUGAGUUUCUAUGCUGCAAUAGUGUAAACCUCAAAGUCAUCCUUUUUAUAGGAGAACUAAGUAUAACUUUCAACUCUCAGUUUAUUGGAGAGCUUCAUAAUUCUUUUUCCAUUAACUAGGAAGUUACAUCUUGCUCCAUUCAUGACCCAUUAAAGGUGUAGCAUUAGUUCUUACAAGCACCAACUCCUAUAUCCAUAAUCUUAAUCUAGAAUGUUUCUUCUUUGCAUACUACCUUGGGCCACUUCAAAGCUACAAGAACACAUCUUCACAAGGGAAAAAGUUGCAACGAUAUAGUAUUCCAGUUGAUAAUGUUAAUUUGUUAAUAUGACAGUUGCGUCCAAGUAGUAUUCUAGCGGGGAAAACGGGGAUCCAGUUCAUUACAAUUUGUUUUUAGUUUUAUGACCAUUUUAUAAGAGACCACCCAUAUAAUUUUUAAACUUAAGAUAGCCAUCGUAACCCAUUAUAACCAACUUCUACAUGUUAUUUAUUUUUAUUUUGAUUUUAUCCACAGAUUUGUAGGAAUAAGGAUAGGUAUAAAUCUUAGCUAUAUAUAUAUUCCUUUAAACGAGCUAAAUUAAAUAGUUUUUAUUUAUUAAAUAGAUAUAGGAAUAUAUUUAGUGUGUAUGUUACUUGUAAACAUUAUACAUAGAUGAAUAAUUAUUACAUAAUCUAUAUAUAAUUUUUAUGUAUGUCUUGUACAUUAAUUGUACACUUCUUAUACAUUAAAUAUAGACCUAUAACCAUUUAAUGAUGCACAGAAUAUAAUAGGAAGGUUAUAAGUUAGAAAAAAGGCAUUUCUCCUGCACUCUUCAAUGCUUUCUCAAUAUUCUACAACUAAAAGAAUCACCAUGCUAUCCAUUCUUUUUGGAUACAACAGUGAAAUCCGAGAAGUGGGUUUGGGAGAGUAGAAUGUACGAGACUUUAUCCCUCCGCGUGGAGGUAAGGAGGAUGUUUUGGGAAGACUCUUGGCUCGAGUACAACAAAUCAAUCCACUCUAUGGUAUACAUUUCACAUUUUUUAUGAAGUCACUAUCUCAACUUUUGGACCAUUUUCUAUUUAAUACAGCAAAAAGGAUCAACACUUACCUUAAUAUUCAUGUAAAACAAAGUAGCUCAUCUUGAGAAACUCUUCUGAACCCUUAACAGGUUGUUUGUUAGUUGAACAAAACUCUUGGUGAUACUCUUACUAGUUACUUUUGCAAGCUCUUGAAGCGUUGGCGACCUGUAAUACAUGAAUCAAAGUACAAAAUUUUGACAAUGGCCACAAUAAGCUGAACCAAUGGAAAAUUCAAUGCAUUGUUUCUCAACACAUAUUUGUAAAGUAGUUCAGGACAAUUUACUUUACCAAUCUCAGACAGGAAGAAAAACGAUUAGAACAAAUAUGGUGUAUGCAACAUGAACCUAUCUCAUAAGCAUGAGUGCAUGAAAAGCUAAAGGCUAAUUCGAUAUCGCUUUAUGCAUACAUAUGAGAUCACACGUUCAUUGUGAUCCAUGACUUGUUAGGAAUCUGAGGAGGAUGUAGUUAUGUCUCCUUUUCUGGUGAUCCCUGCAUCCAUAUAAUAAUUGUUAGUCUUGGAGAGUUCUGUCGCCUUGCUCUUUUCAAUUGUCUUGGCUCCUCCUUGUUGACUUAGGAAUGGGGUUUUCGGUUCCAUUUUGUACAUAAUUAGUUCUUCAUGUAUCUGAGAUGCAUGCCUGAAAUAUGCAUGUAUCUGAAUCAUGAAAAGUGGUAAAAUGUGUAAUUAGGUAAACUAGUGUUUUAAAGGGUAAUUGGGUUCUAAAGAUGUGAGUUACCCAUAUUUUUAGGCAUGUUAUUGCUAAAUAUGUUUGGAUCGAAAAAAUACCAAUACACGAACUUCAGUCCCUCAAAAAUUUUACUGUUACGCCCCAAUUAUGUAGUAAGAAGCUUGAGGCCCAAUCCAUCCAAUAAUAGCAAUGAAACGACCAAUGGAAUAUUUUGUCAAAGUGGCUAAAGAUGAGCCUUUAUUUUGGCUAAUAACCAAAAAAAAAAAUACGCAAUUUCAACUAUGCUCGAGUUCACAGUUAAAAGCUGGUCAGAAGUACUAGUGAGAUUUUGGAACUUAAUAAGGUGUGUGUUGGUUUAUUCCUAUUUUCUUGAUUAGAAACUUUGAAAAAUAAUUUUUUUUAUGACAACAAGUUCCUUGAAUAUAAGGAAAAUGAAUACGUUUACUUGUCCUUGUAGGAUGUUCGCAUCCAAGAAGAUGUCUUUUGAUCUAUGUAAUGUACCUGUCACUGUUUAGAGGUUUGUCCUUGUAGUAUGUUCGCAUUCAAAGAAGAUGUCUUUUGAUCUAUGUAAUGUACCUGUCACUAUUUAGUAUUUAGAAGUGCAUAUGUUAGAAAUUUUUAUGAA